AGCAGUGGGGAAUUUUGGACAAUGGGCGAAAGCCUGAUCCAGCAAUGCCGCGUGAGUGAAGAAGGCCUUCGGGUUGUAAAGCUCUUUUGUCAGGGAAGAAACGGUGAGGGCUAAUAUCCCUUGCUAAUGACGGUACCUGAAGAAUAAGCACCGGCUAACUACGUGCCAGCAGCCGCGGUAAUACGUAGGGUGCAAGCGUUAAUCGGAAUUACUGGGCGUAAAGCGUGCGCAGGCGGUUUUGUAAGUCUGAUGUGAAAUCCCCGGGCUCAACCUGGGAAUUGCAUUGGAGACUGCAAGGCUAGAAUCUGGCAGAGGGGGGUAGAAUUCCACGUGUAGCAGUGAAAUGCGUAGAUAUGUGGAGGAACACCGAUGGCGAAGGCAGCCCCCUGGGUCAAGAUUGACGCUCAUG
rnacentral:rRNA from 1 species